CAUCAGAUGAUGAGUACAGAGGCUGUGCUUGCUUCAGCUGGGGGCAGUAUUCCCUAAUUGAAAGUCAGAGACUGAGCAGCAAGUUUAACAAUCUUCUUACAUCCAUUGGAAUUCAAGCUCCCUUAUAAUCAGCUUAAGACCAGAGCUCCCUUGGAAUAUUCUUAGAAUGCUGUGAGCUUCAUCUGAGUCAAACUUGCCAGAAACCAAGGCAGCUUUGACCAACUUCGCAAGAGUCCCCACCUAAGAAAUCUGGGAUCGUGAACCACAGGCAAUAACCCGGGCAAUAAACCAGAGGCUAUAAAACUGAC